AUGCCAUACCAAUGUCUCCACACUCAUUGGUUAAGAGGACAACCAACCUAUAUGACACACAAUGACCUAUGCUUCAUAAACGUUGUCAUCCUUGGUAACAACGUAUCAUUUGGUCGCGAACAGAUUUAAGGACUAAACGACAAAUCCUCCUUUGUCGAGUCUAAAUAGUCCUAAGGACUUCACCACAACAUAGGAGUUCAUUAGAAGAUGAAACAUUUUGUGAUGAAAAAUACCAAAAUAUUUUUUAUUAAUUCAUAAUUUAUGUACAAAUAUAAAAAU
rnacentral:lncRNA from 1 species